rnacentral:misc_RNA from 1 species
AAGUCGUAACAAGGUUUCCGUAGGUGAACCUGCGGAAGGAUCAUUAACACGUAUCCAAACGUUAAACCCCCCUGUGAACCUUCACCUGUACUCGUACGUCCGUUAGAAAAAGCAGCAAUCCCUGGUAAAUCAUCGCCGAACAGUUUUCGAUUCAGGGAUGUCUGCAAGGAGCGUGCAUGUUGUGCGAGCAAGUGGCCUGGCAUCCCCAAGCAGUUAGUGUCUGAAAGUGUCAUUAACUGUGUAAGGAUGACGCAGUCACGAUCGUUGGAGGCCCACACGGCCAAUCGCGGCCGCGAUAAUACGCAGUCGACCAAAAACCGAACAACUGUUAACAAUGGAUAUCUUGGUUCUC